rnacentral:rRNA from 1 species
UACGUAGGGUGCAGACGUCGAUUGAAUUGACUGGGCGUAAAGCGUGCGCAGGCGGUUUUGUAAGUCUGUCGUGAAAGCCCCGGGCUCAACCUGGGAAUUGCGAUGGAGACUGCAAGGCUUGAAUCUGGCAGAGGGGGGUAGAAUUCCACGUGUAGCAGUGAAAUGCGUAGAGAUGUGGAGGAACACCGAUGGCGAAGGCAGCCCCUGGGUCAAGAUUGACGCUCAUGCACGAAAGCGUGGGGAGCAAACAGG